CCCUGGACCGCGGCUUGGGCUGGGGGGCCCAGUUGUCACGGCCCUCACCGCUAAUGACAGGUUUGGGCUGCCUCUGUGGCUGGCCUGCCCCGUCACCCCCAGAGGCCAGACAGGACCCCCCAGGGACAGACAGACACACACAGCCUGGGAGGUGCAGUCAUCACACGCAGCCAGCGGGACCUCACCCGGGGCCAGCACAGCAAGGACCCCCAGCCCACCCCACAGAGCAGAGGCACCUCCCCCAAGUCUGUGAGCACCUGAGGGCUUCUCCGCCUGCUCCCCAGUCCGUUCCAGACGCCGCCAUGCUGGUCUCCCCGGCACCCAUCUCUUCCUGUGUCUGGGUCUUACUCUGGCCUUGGUGGCCCCAUCUCUAUCUGUACUUGCCCUGUCAUUUGUCAUUCUUGGGGUUCCCCAGGCUGCCUCUAAGUCAGUCUGGUCUCUUGCUAUUGUUUCCACAGAAGUAGCCCAAGGUGUCCCCACCCUGCCCUGGGAAGACCCAAGCACAAGGCCACCCUCCUGCACUUACCUUGAGGGGGUCAAGUCUGAUGCCACACCCCCAAGGAUGAGGACCAAGGCAGGACUAGAAACUGAUGCCAGCCGGGGACCCCUCAUUUGACCCAGAUUUGUGACCUUCUCCACAGAGUGCAGAAGGGCCCCAAGUAUUCCUCCACCUGUCUUCAAACAAGGGUUUAGGGCUUGGACCUGGGUCUGGGGGAGGAGGCUGGGGGUCUGGACCCCUGUGUCUGAGAAGAGGGGGCUGGGGUGCGAUUCCUGGAUCCCCGUGGGUGGAAGGGCUGGCAUUCCCAGAUCCCUUGUGUUGCUCCAGGGCUGGCCCCAGGCCCAGUCCCCCAUCCCCUCAGGCCAG
rnacentral:lncRNA from 1 species